rnacentral:rRNA from 1 species
AUUGAACGCUGGCGGCAGGCCUAACACAUGCACGUCGAGCGAGCGGCGGACGGGUGAGUAAUGUCUGGGAAACUGCCUGUUGGAGGGGGAUAACUACUGGAAACGGUAGCUAAUACCGCAUACCAUCAGAUGUGCCCAGAUGUGAUUAGCUAGUAGGUGGGGUAACGGCUCACCUAGGCGACUAUCACUAGCUGGUAUGAGAGGAUGACCCGACACACUGGAACGGAGACACGGUCCAGACUCGUACGGGAGGCAGCAGUGGGGAAGAUGGCACAAUGGGCGCAAGCCUGAUGCAGCCAUGCCGCGUGUGUGAAGAAGGCCUUCGGGUUGUAAAGCACUUUCAGCGGGGAGGCGUUACCCGCAGAAGAAGCACCGGCUAACUCCGUGCCAGCAGCCGCGGUAAUUC